rnacentral:rRNA from 1 species
UCAUGCGAUGAAGAGUGAUGAUAGUCCACGGCCAUACUGGAUCAGAAGCGGACAUAUUCUCUAACGGAAGACAGCAGUGGAUCUUCGCCACAUUGGAGAAUCUUCUGAUGCCAGCGAUGCGCUUGAGUGAGAGGCCUUGGGUUGUAAGCUCUUUCGUCGGGGAAGAAAAAUGACUGUACCGAAUUAAGAAGUCGCUAACUUCGUGCCAGCAGCGCGUAAUACGAAGGACCUAGCGUAGUCGAAUUACUGGGCUUAAAGAGUUCGUAGUGGUGAAAAAGUUAGUGGUGAAAUCCCAGAAGCUACUCUGGAACUGCCAUUAAAACUUUUCAGCUAGAGUAUGAUAGAGGAAAGCAGAAUUUCUAGUGUAGAGGUGAAAUUCGUAGAUAUUAGAAAGAAUACCAAUUGCGAAGGCAGCUUUCUGGAUCAUUACUGACACUGAGGAACGAAAGCAUGGGUAGCGAGGAGGAUUAGAUACCCUCGUAGUCCAUGCCGUAAACGAUGUGUGUUAGACGUUGGAAAUUUAUUUUCAGUGUCGCAGCGAAAGCGAUAAACACACCGCCUGGGGAGUACGACCGCAAGGUUAAAACUCAAAUGAAUUGACGGGGACCCGCACAAGUAGUGGAGCAUGUGGUUUAAUUCGAAGAUACGCGCAGAACCUUACCAACACUUGACAUGUUCGUCGCGACUCUAAGAGAUUAGAGUUUUCGGUUCGGCCGGACGAAACACAGGUGCUGCAUGGCUGUCGUCAGCUCGUGUCGUGAGAUGUUGGGUUAAGUCCCGCAACGAGCGCAACCCUCACUUUUAGUUGCCAUCAUUAAGUUGGGCACUCUGAAAGAACUGCCAGUGAUAAGCUGGAGGAAGGUGGGGAUGACGUCAAGUCCUCAUGGCCCUUACGUGUUGGGCUACACACGUGCUACAAUGGUAUCUACAACAGGAAGCAAGACUGCGAGGUCAAGCAAAUCCUUAAAAGAUACCUCAGUUCGGAUUGCACUCUGCAACUCGAGUGCAUGAAGCUGGAAUUACUAGUAAUCGUGGAUCAGCGUGCCACGGUGAAUGCGUUCCCGGGUCUUGUACACACCGCCCGUCACACCAUGGGAGUUGGUUCUACCUUAAGGCAAGGUUUCAAACCCUUGACCACGGUAUAGUCAGCGACUGGGGUGAAGUCGUAACAAGGUAACCGUA